AAAUGCUCAGUUUUCCAGUAGUGUAUAUUCAUAUGAAGUAAUAUUGAGUUCAAUCAAUCACGUGCACCAACUGUGCACUGAUAUAUAAAGGUCAGAAAAAGAAAAAAACAUGUGCGGUAUCUAGAGUGCAUAUAUAUGGUUCCCACUAAAAAAGGAGGCACUUUUAAGUUUUCUUUAUUUCCUACAUCCUAGCUUGUAACAUUCGGAUAAGGAGACAUAGCAACUAUUCUUUUAUGUUGAGAACCAAAUUAGCAAGAAAAUACUUCCAAUUAUUUCCCUAGGAUUCAUAAUAUGUUUUUGCAUAAAUCUUUACAAUAAAACAUCCUCAAUUCAGAACAAAUGUCAUAUGUUAUGCUAUAAGCUUGAUGAGCAUUAGCCGGAGCAAGUGAAAGUUCAUGGACGAUUGACACAUCAAUCAUAUCUAAAUUAUUCUAACCCACAUCCUCAUUGCAUGAUGAACUAGUUAACCAACUCUAGUCAAGUAACCACCAUUGAUCAGCCGAAAUGCGUCCAUGUACUGUCCCCAUUGCCGAGAUUGAAAAAGAGGCCGUCUUUUCCAUCACCACAUGUGUUACACUGCUCCUAGACACCUACCAUACUCAACAACGCACAAACUACGCCUUUCUGUGUGGACUUGAAAUGAACCAAGAGAAGAUCCUCCACUUCGCAGAGGAUGCCUGGAGACGUCUCCACUGCCGCUAAAACAAGAAAUUUCAGCCACUGGUUCUCAUCCUCGUGCAUGCC
rnacentral:lncRNA from 1 species